rnacentral:rRNA from 1 species
GUGUCAGCAGCCGCGGUAAUACAGAGGUCCCGAGCGUUGUUCGGAUUCACUGGGCGUAAAGGGUGCGUAGGUGGCUGGGAAAGUUCGGUGUGAAAGCUCGGAGCUCAACUCCGAAAAGGCAUUGAAUACUAUCUGGCUGGAGGGUCGGAGGGGAGACUGGAAUUCUCGGUGUAGCAGUGAAAUGCGUAGAUAUCGAGAGGAACACCAGUGGCGAAGGCGAGUCUCUGGACGACACCUGACACUGAGGCACGAAAGCUAGGGGAGCAAACAGGAUUAGAUACCCCCGUAGUCC